CAAUAGCGUAUAUUUAAGUUGUUGCAGUUAAAAAGCUCGUAGUUGGAUUUCGGGUAGGAUUUGCCGGUCCGUCUUUGAGAUGUGUACUGGUAAGUCCUAUCUUCUUGUCGGGGACCAGCUCCUGGGCUUCACUGUCCGGGACUGGGAGCCGACGAAGUUACUUUGAGUAAAUUAGAGUGUUCAAAGCAAGCCUACGCUCUGAAUAUAUUAGCAUGGAAUAACACGAUAGGACUCUGGCUUAUCUUGUUGGUCUGUGAGACCAGAGUAAUGAUUAAGAGGGACAGUCGGGGACAUUCGUAUUUCAUUGUCAGAGGUGAAAUUCUUGGAUUUAUGAAAGACGAACGACUGCGAAAGCAUUUACCAAGGAUGUUUUCAUUAA
rnacentral:rRNA from 1 species